AAUCUUCAGCAAUAAGAUCUUAAUAACUGGUUUUGGUGGGCACCAGAAGGAAUAAGCAAGAGCCAGGACUGUUCGGAAAGAACCCCUCCCUCCAACAUCUCCCAUCUACCCCCUUCAAGCUGAUAGCAUCUUUUGUCUACAUGUGUGCUCAAGUGUAUGAGGCAGUCAGAACAGGAACUCAGAGUUUGAUGCAGAGACCAUGGAGGGGUGCUGCUGACUGGUUUGUGCGACAUGGCUUGUUCAAUUUACUUUCUUCUAGAUCUCAGGACCACCAGCCCAGGAGUAGCC